rnacentral:rRNA from 1 species
UACGAAGGGGGCUAGCGUUGCUCGGAAUCACUGGGCGUAAAGCGCACGUAGGCGGAUUGCUAAGUCAGGGGUGAAAUCCUGGAGCUCAACUCCAGAACUGCCUUUGAUACUGGCGAUCUCGAGUCCGGGAGAGGUGAGUGGAACUGCGAGUGUAGAGGUGAAAUUCGUAGAUAUUCGCAAGAACACCAGUGGCGAAGGCGGCUCACUGGGCCCGGUACUGACGCUGAGGUGCGAAAGCGUGGGGAGCAAACAGG